rnacentral:SRP_RNA from 1 species
CUGGAUUCACGGAGCAGCAGCUAGCGCCGCUUCCGAAGCCGCCGAGGGCCUUGCAGGGAGAGGUGGAUUACGUGCU